rnacentral:rRNA from 1 species
UUGGAGGGCAAGUCUGGUGCCAGCAGCCGCGGUAAUUCCAGCUCCAAUAGCGUAUAUUAAAGUUGUUGCAGUUAAAAAGCUCGUAGUUGAAUUUCGGGACCAAUAUGUCGGUCGUGCUUCGGUACGUACUUGCAUUAUUGGUUUCUCCCUUCUGAGGAACCAUGAUGUCAUUAAUUUGGUGUCGUGGGAAAUCAGGACUGUUACUUUGAAAAAAUUAGAGUGUUUAAAGCAGGCUCGCGCUUGAAUACAUUAGCAUGGAAUAAUGAAAUAGGACGUUUGAUUCUAUUUUGUUGGUUUCUAGGAUCGACGUAAUGAUUAAUAGGGAUAGUUGGGGGCAUUAGUAUUCAAUUGUCAGAGGUGAAAUUCUUGGAUUUAUUGAAGACUAACUACUGCGAAAGCAUUUGCCAAGGAUGUUUUCAUUAAUCAAGAACGAAAGUUAGGGGAUCGAAGACGAUCAGAUACCGUCGUAGUCUUAACCAUAAACUAUGCCGACUAGGGAUCGGAUGAUGUUAUUUUUGAUGACUCAUUCGGCGCCUUACGGGAAACCAAAGUGUUUGGGUUC